AUGGAGGUUGCCUUGUCUGCUGUUGCAGGUGAACUAGUGAGCCGUUUCAUCUCCUUCCUGCUAAACAAGUACCAUUCUAGCCGUCCACACUCGCAGGAGAAGGUGAUGGAGAGGUUGCAGCAUCUCCUAGUGAGAGUUUGCACCAUCGUCGAGGAGGCGGACACACGGUACAUAACCAACUCCGGGAUGAUGAUGCAGCUCAAUAUGCUCUCAGAGGCCAUGUACCGAGGAUACAGUGUGGUGGACAACUCGAAGUAUCAAGCUCUCCAAGACGGGGCAAGCUCUGACGAGGUUAGCAGCAACGACUCAUCUAUCGGGAGCUUGUAUUUAGCCAAGCGUUCUCGAACAAGUAAUAAGGGCACGCACCUUGAGUUGCAUUAUGCCUUGGAAAGCUUGGAAAUUGUUGUUGCUAACAUGGCAGAAUUUGUGAUCCUUCUGGGUGGAUGCGAGCGCAUGUCUCGUAGGCCAUAUGAUGUUUAUCUUUAG
rnacentral:rRNA from 1 species